CAGCAGCCGCGGUAAUACGGAGGGUGCAAGCGUUAAUCGGAAUUACUGGGCGUAAAGCGCACGCAGGCGGUCUGACAAGUCAGAUGUGAAAUCCCCGGGCUUAACCUGGGAACUGCAUUUGAAACUGUCAGGCUGGAGUCUUGUAGAGGGGGGUAGAAUUCCAGGUGUAGCGGUGAAAUGCGUAGAGAUCUGGAGGAAUACCGGUGGCGAAGGCGGCCCCCUGGACAAAGACUGACGCUCAGGUGCGAAAGCGUGGGGAGCAAACAGGAUUAGAGACCCCUGUAGUCCCUGUCUCUUAUAC
rnacentral:rRNA from 1 species